GUUCUGCAGCUGUCUCAUUUGCGCAUUGGAAGGGGUUUUCUUCAGCCAAAACCAAUGCUUGCAGGGUUUUCCAGCCCUUUAUGGAGAAUUUGAUUCCCUCUUGGAGCAGCAUGGACUUCAGAUUAAGAGUUAUUUUAUAAAUGGACAUACCCAACGAAGGGACUGAAGAAGGAAGGAUUCUCCGUGGACAACAUUCUGAGAGCAGUACUGAAUCUUUCUACAUAGAGGAGGGCAAAGACUUCAGUUGUUGCUGCAGACUCUCCCAGAACAUCUCUAUUGAUACUGAAGAAUUCAGUGUAACCUGGCUUUAUGUUUGAAGUAU